UACAGAGGUCUCAAACGUUGUUCGGAUUCAUUGGGCGUAAAGGGUGUGUAGGUGGCGCGCUAAGUCGGGUGUGAAAUUUCGGAGCUUAACUCCGAAACUGCAUUCGAUACUGGCGUGCUUGAGGACUGGAGAGGAGACUGGAAUUCAUGGUGUAGCAGUGAAAUGCGUAGAGAUCAUGAGGAAGACCAGUGGCGAAGGCGGGUCUCUGGACAGUUCCUGACACUGAGACACGAAGGCCAGGGGAGCAAACGGG
rnacentral:rRNA from 1 species